rnacentral:rRNA from 1 species
GACGAACGCUGGCGGCGUGCUUAACACAUGCAAGUCGAACGGAGCGAAUGAAAGCUUGCUUUUAUGAGCUUAGUGGCAAACGGGUGAGUAACACGUAGACAACCUGCCGACAGGAUGGGGACAACAUUCCGAAAGGAAUGCUAAUACCGAAUGAAGUCGAGGGAAGGCAUCUUCCUUCGAUGAAAGAUGGCCUCUAUAUAUAAGCUAUCACCUGUUGAUGGGUCUGCGUCUGAUUAGCUGGUAGGUGAGGUAACGGCUCACCUAGGCGACGAUCAGUAGCCGGUCUGAGAGGAUGAACGGCCACAUUGGGACUGAGACACGGCCCAGACUCCUACGGGAGGCAGCAGUGGGGAAUCUUCCGCAAUGGGCGCAAGCCUGACGGAGCAACGCCGCGUGAGUGAAGAAGGUCUUCGGAUCGUAAAGCUCUGUUGACGGGGACGAACGUGCGAAGGGUGAAUAAUCCUUUGCAAUGACGGUACCUGUACGAGGAAGCCACGGCUAACU